rnacentral:rRNA from 1 species
UACGUAGGGGGCAAGCGUUGUCCGGAUUCAUUGGGCGUAAAGCGCGUGUAGGCGGCAGUCUAAGUCGGCCGUGAAAUCUCCGGGCUUAACUCGGAGCGGUCGGGCGAGACUGGACUGCUCGAGGUGGGCAGAGGGCGGUGGAAUUCCGGGUGUAGUGGUGGAAUGCGUAGAGAUCCGGAGGAACACCAGUGGCGAAGGCGGCCGCCUGGGCCUGGCCUGACGCUGAGACGCGAAAGCGUGGGGAGCGAUCCGG